rnacentral:rRNA from 1 species
GAUGAACGCUAGCGGCAGGCUUAAUACAUGCAAGUCGAGGGGCAGCGGGAGUAGCAAUACUUGCCGGCGACCGGCGCACGGGUGCGUAACACGUAUACAAUCUGCCUCUUACUGGAGGAUAGCCCGGAGAAAUUCGGAUUAAUACUCCAUAACAGCUGAAUAGGCAUCUAUUUGGCUUAAAAGCUCCGGCGGUAAGAGAUGAGUAUGCGACUGAUUAGCUAGUUGGUAGUGUAACGGACUACCAAGGCUACGAUCAGUAGGGGAUCUGAGA